UCCUGCUGUUUAUAGUCAAGUGUGAGGGGUCAAGGAACAACAGUUGUGGAGUUACAUGUUUGAUACCAGCGUUAAGUAUGUUUUUGAUUUCUAGGAUUUGGACUUCCAACAUAAUAUCUUUUGUACAAUUUCUAUAAACUGUUUCGAAUAAUGAGGCCCUUAGUGUGCCUAGUAGAAGUGUUGUAUUUUUAAAAUCAUAUACUUAGUGAACAUAAUGAGACAGGAGCAGAGAGAAGCUAUGUGCCAAUCCUUGGCAAACAGUGCAUUUCAUAUGCAGAGGGCAGAACAAGUUUCAGAAUAGUCUUGUGCCUUCCCUGUAAGGUGACUCAGGGAACUAAAUACCUUGUCAGUUAGCCACAGUGGCCUGAAAAGAUCCUGGGCCGGUAUUGGAAGAGCUGCGGCAAAUUGCAUUAAGAGUGUAUUCCAAAGACUUGAAACCUUUGGUCCAUAUCUUACUCAUAUUGAGACCUAUGAGCACUCUCCUGAAAGGAAUAUGAUUUUCUUCAAAUCUUUUACAAGAAAUAAUUCAAACCUAUAAAUAAAUAAAACAAAUUUUAUUUUAAAAAUUUCAACCCUAAAUUUUAAGCAUAGUAAUUCUGUGAUGGCCAUUCUUUAGAUAUAAUGUUGACAAUAUGAACUUCUGAGAAAUAAUCAGACUUUGUGAAAAAUUCCAGUUUUUUAAAUGGUUGGAGGCACCUGUGAUGGUUCUUGUCAAGAAUAUUGAUACAUCUGUAGUUUUAAUGUUAUUAUGCUCAUUGCACUACUUGAUAUUUAGAAUUCAAAUAGUGUCUCAGUUUGAAAAUAUAAACAGUACAUAAAACUGCAUCACUAUUCCCUAUGGGUUAUGCCCUCACUUAUUUCUUCAGUGAAAUACUUAAGCAUUUCUAGAGCUCGAAGAGACCAAGAGGUCACCUUGUUCAGGCUGCUCAUUUUACAAAUGAUGCAACAAGGACUCAGGGAAGAUCAAUUGUGUGACCAAAGUUACAGAGCUAAUAAAUAGCAAAACCAAAAGUAGAACCCUGGAUCCCUGGCUCUCAGAUCAGAUUCUCUCCACUAACACUCUACCCCAUCGAUAAUUGAGAUGUAAGUACAAAAACACAUUCCAGACUAAAUUAUACAUAUUUAAAUAAAUGAGAUAUAUUAGAGGUAUUCUAUUUAUUUUUGGAAAAUGAAUACUACGUAUAGUAAAAUAUAUAUCCUGUAGUUUAAUCUUCCAAGGCAGACAGCUAUAAAUAUUUUAGUGUUUCCUUUCAAAUUUUUUAUGGGAUUUGUUUUAUAUGAUUGUCAGACUGUUUAUUGACUUGCAUUUAUUCAUUUUAUAAGUAUUCUCCUAUAUUAUAAACAUUUUAAAGCAUUUUAGUACAUAAUAAUGUGAAUAUUAUUUUUAUCUUUAAUUUUGAAUUUGUUUUCAUUUUAAUUUGUUUAUUAAAGAGGCUGAUGCAGAGUUAACUUUCUCUUUGGGUACCAAAGUGUUAGCAGUUCAGUAUUGGCAGAACCGUCUCCCUUUCCUUUCUCCUUUAAUUUUAUGGUAGUUUCAAGACUAGCAGCAAGAUAGGAUGUUUCUUUUUUAAACAUUCCUGUCAUUCUUUCUAUAAUGUUUAUAUUUAUCAUAAGUCUUUUAUUUUUGUACUCUUUUUCUCCUUAUCACUUAAUCUUUCCCCUCCCUUCGCUCAGCGUUUAAAUAUGAUUCAGUUCAUCCAUUAUUCCUAUUAUCUUCUUAGAGCAGCGUAAACACUAUGGCUGUUUUUUUUUUAUUUGCUAUGAAAUUGUCAAAGUAACAGGUGCCCUGCUUAGUCAGAGUUAUGAUCAUAAGAUGAAACAAUCUCUGUGAAAGCACUUAUUAACCAAAAAUGCAACGUAAGUGCUAAGAUGUGAUCGUUAUUUUUGGAAGAACCAGGAGAUUUGCUCCUAAUAUACUGUAGGUAUUUUUUUAAACAAAAUCUAGAGUUACCAUCUACAUUUUGAUGGAGCAAAAGGAGAUUUGGCUGAGUGCUCAGAGAAAAUGUCUAUUUCGAACUGUUAAAAUACAUAAAGGUGAGCAAUGUGUACCCUACCCUAUGUUGUUUGUUUACCUAAAACAGUGUUAUAUUUCUUUUUUUUUUUUUUUUUUUUUUUUUUUUACACUUUUGGACAUCCAUGCCAGUGCAACAGUGUUAUAUUUCUAUAAUGUGUUUCGUUUUAAGCAGAAGUUAUUUCAGAUUAUAGAUAUUUUUCCUGUUUUUGCAGUUUUUAAGGUUCUAUAUGUUUGUUCCUGACACUGAUUUUACUAAAUAAAAGUUAUAUUUCUAUAAAAGCUUCUGUAAAGAAUGUUAAAACUUUCUCAGUGUUUAGUGUUUCUCUAAGAAAACUAAUGUACAGCACACAUUUAUGGAACAAAAUAAGAAAAGAAUGCUUUUGCCAGGUGCAGUGGCACAUGCCUGUAGUCCCAGCUAUUCAGAAGGUUGAAACAGGAGGAUUGCUUGAGUCCAGGAGUUCAAGGCUGUAAUUAAUGUGCUAUGAUUGUACCUGUGUUUGCACCACUGCACUCCAGCCUGGGCUAUGCAGGGAGACCCUGUCUCAAAAAGAAAAAGAUUGGCAAGAUGAUGUUAAAAAAAAAAGAAAAAAAUUGAUGCUUUCAAGAGCAGUUUGUUCUUUAAAAUACCAUGCAGCAAAAAAUAACUUCUAGGGUUCACUUGUUUUUAGGUGAAUUCUCUCACCAGUAAUGACUAUUAUUUCUCUAACCAAUAAUUACUGUUACUUUUCCCCAAAAAUGUGUAGAUUGAGAAAUACUUUUUUUUUUUUUGGAGACAGGGUCUUAUACUGUUGCCCAGGCUGGA